rnacentral:rRNA from 1 species
GCUUACGGCCAUACCAGCCUGAAUGCGCCCGAUCUCGUCUGAUCUCGGAAGCUAGGCAGGGUCGGGCCUGGUUAGUACUUGGAUAGGAGACCGCCUGGGAAUACCAGGUGCUGUAAGCU